UUUGUACACACUUGCUAGCUGGUGUAAUCAAGAUGGUGGAACUCUGACACCUCUUCUAAGCCCCAGAUCUUUCUCUUCCCUUGACAGAAACACAAAGAGAAGCACACUGGAAGCCUCCGCAAGGGAAAAAGAUGGAAGAUAUGUCAGGCACUGUGGAUGUAAGGGGAGUAAGACCUGGUCUCUGUCCUAAAAGAGCCCCGUUUACUGGAAAAGACAGACAGGAAACAGGAAACGGUCAUGCCAUGCUCUGAUAAGUGCCAUGCCAGAGAUACCAGUACGGAUGAGAGGCAUCUAAUCUAUCCUGAGAUCACUGGAGACCGUCCAGAGAGGGUUCAUUGGAGCAGUGGAAAAAUCAGGCUGCCAUGAUGAAGGAGUGAAUGGAAGAAAGGACACGGUCCCUGGGAAAAGAUGGAAACACUUGAGUGGGUUUCCAGGCUGAAAGGAAAGCCAGCAGAUAUGGAAAGACUAAUGAUAUUGGUGAGAGGACAUAACUCAAGGAAAUGGUCCUGGAGAAAGCUGUCCUAAUGAGCUCUGUAUAAGCUUUCUCUCCAUCUGGCAAGUGGGAACGGACCAGCUAUAUUUCAAGUUUGCUAACAAAGAUGGCUUAAGCCAAUACUAUUCUAACACUGUGCUGUGGCCCAGUGUGCCUGAGUGGAAGAAACCAAGAGAGGAGCAUACUGGCCUCAGGUUCCUCCCCAGUGGCUGACAGGUUAACUGUGCCGUGUCCCGAGGGCUGCGUGCCUCCUCCAGGUGGUUAUGUUGAUAGCCCGCCCCCACCAUCAAACUGCAAUUUUCAUCUGUGCAUCUCUUUAUGUGUUAUAAUACUUAAUUACACUUCAUCUUCAUAUUAACUGAAUCUCACUGAUGUUCACAGAGGCUAAGUGAUUUCCAGUAGGUCAUAGCUACUAAG